rnacentral:rRNA from 1 species
AUUGAACGCUGGCGGCAUGCCUUACACAUGCAAGUCGAACGGCAGCACGGGUGCUUGCACCUGGUGGCGAGUGGCGAACGGGUGAGUAAUACAUCGGAACGUACCUUAUCGUGGGGGAUAACGCAGCGAAAGCUGUGCUAAUACCGCAUACGCCCUGAGGGGGAAAGCGGGGGAUCGCAAGACCUCGCGCGAUUAGAGCGGCCGAUGCCUGAUUAGCUAGUUGGUGGGGUAAAAGCCCACCAAGGCGACGAUCAGUAGCUGGUCUGAGAGGCCGAUCAGCCACACUGGGACUGAGACACGGCCCAGACUCCUACGGGAGGCAGCAGUGGGGAAUUUUGGACAAUGGGGGCAACCCUGAUCCAGCAAUGCCGCGUGAGUGAAGAAGGCCUUCGGGUUGUAAAGCUCUUUUGUCAGGGAAGAAACACCGGCUCUAACACAGUCCGGGAAUGACGGUACCUGAAGAAUAAGCACCGGCUAACUACGUGCAGCAGCCGCCGUAA